rnacentral:rRNA from 1 species
AGAGUUUGAUCCUGGCUCAGAUUGAACGCUGGCGGCAGGCCUAACACAUGCAAGUCGAACGGUAACAGGAAGCAGCUUGCUUUUUCGCUGACGAGUGGCGGACGGGUGAGUAAUGUCUGGGAAACUGCCUGAUGGAGGGGGAUAACUACUGGAAACGGUAGCUAAUACCGCAUAACGUCGCAAGACCAAAGAGGGGGACCUUCGGGCCUCUUGCCAUCGGAUGUGCCCAGAUGGGAUUAGCUAGUAGGUGGGGUAACGGCUCACCUAGGCGACGAUCCCUAGGUGGUCUGAGAGGAUGACCAGCCACACUGGAACUGAGACACGGUCCAGACUCCUACGGGAGGCAGCAGUGGGGAAUAUUGCACAAUGGGCGCAAGCCUGAUGCAGCCAUGCCGCGUGUAUGAAGAAGGCCUUCGGGUUGUAAAGUGCUUUCAGCGGGGAGGAAGGGAGUAAAGUUAAUACCUUUGCUCAUUGACGUUACCCG